rnacentral:lncRNA from 1 species
GAUGUUUAUUUCACUAGUGGAAAUAUUAUACUUUGUUAGUUAAUUCACGAAUUAUUCAUAAAUUAUUGAAAAUCCGAAUUAAACGGUCCGUUUAUGAAUUUUUUUUCCCAAAAAAAAAAUAUUCGCGAAUUUUUGGGCCAGCCAAAUAAUCGCGAAUUAUUCAUAAAUUAUUCCUGAAUUAUUAAAAAUCUGAAUAAAAAAUUUAUAAUUUUUAUGUUUAAAUAUAGAUUAUCUUAUAUUUUAUAUUUUAUAUUUUAUAUUUUAUACCGAAUCUAUUUUUUAAGCCAGAUUUUUCAAUAAAUUUAAAAAUUAGAAAAUAAAUUUUAUGCGUAUUAUAACCGUACCGAAUUUUUGCUGAAUCCGAAUUAACUAACUAUGAUAUUACGCAAU